rnacentral:rRNA from 1 species
GACAGAGGUGCCAAGCGUUAGGCGGAAUCACUGGGCUUAAAGCGUGUGUAGGCGGGUGCCUAAGUACCUUGUGAAAUCCCACGGCUCAACCGUGGAACUGCUGGGUAUACUGGGUGCCUUGGGUCAUCUAGGGGCUGCCGGGAACAAAUGGUGGAGCGGUGAAAUGCGUAGAUAUCAUUGGAACGCCAACGGCGAAAGCAGGCAGCUGGGGAUGCACCGACGCUGAGACACGAAAGCCAGGGGAGCGAACGGG